GAGGCAAGAGGAGGAGAGGAAGGUGGAGGCGCACUAGUGCCUAAGGGGGCGGUCGGCGGUGGGCGGCAGCUUUUCAGUUGAAUGUAGGAAGAGCUGGCGUUGUGGACAAUAGUUGGCAGCUGCUUUUAUUCCAGUGGGGUUUGUCUAAGAGAAGAGAAUGGAACUACCCCAGUUGCAGCCUGAAAUUAAGUGGUCGGACUUACCUUCGAUGAAGAUUACUUGAAAAAGCUAGGAAGGAUGAUUGAGUGACAGCAUAAAAGGAUGAACAUGUAAAAGCAGGAAUUUCAUGAAAUUAUGAACAUGGACUGCAUAGUGGAGAACAGACAUGACAUGUGUAGGCUGCGUAUCUUGGAAGAAUACAGAUGAGAUCGCCACCCAUUUCACCUCCUUGUGUUUUCUGGCCACAAGAGCCCUUCAUCAACGUUGGCAGCGUACUGUCGUCCGUCCACUGCCCUCUGCUGUAGAAACUCCAACUGCACAUCGAAGCAAGCCAAACAGAUUCGCUCAAAUCUAUUGAUUGCACUGUAAAGUCAUAAGCAUGUCAAAGCCACAUGAACACACUGUAAAGCCGCAACAAGAUCACGUAGGUUCACCUUUCUCCUGAAACUUCUCCAAUUCAUCUUCUUCUUUGCGGCUACGCAGAUUUCAUGUGAAGGAAGGAUUGAAUGCAUUCCUUUUUGCUCUUUCCCCAUUGUGGCAGCAGCGUUCUUUCUUGGAUGCUGAACAUCGAUUAGGUAUGUAAAGAUAUGCAUGUCAAUUUUCUUCCUGGAUACCAAUAUACAGGUGUUUAUCUUGCCACUUACUUCUUGUAUGCUUGUUCCCCUUGAACUUCAGAAGGCCUGUGGUAUGGUUUAUUUAUUUUAA